rnacentral:rRNA from 1 species
AACGAACGCUGGCGGCAUGCCUAACACAUGCAAGUCGAACGAAACCUCCGGGUCUAGGUGCGCACGGGUGCGUACCGCGGGGGAACCUGCCCUUAGGUUCGGAAUAACUCACCGAAAGGGGUGCUAAUACCGGAGAAGCUCUUCGCACCAAAGAUUUAUCGCCGUUGGAUGGGCGCGCGUUGGAUUAGCUAGUUGGUAGGGUAAAAGCAUACCAAGGCGACGAUCCAUAGCUGGUCGGAGAGGAUGCUCAGCUAGGCUGGGAAUGCGACACGGCCCAGAAUGCUACGCGAGGGAGCAGAGGGGAACAUUGGACGCGGGGGGCAAGUGUGAUCACGCAGCGUGGGGGAAGUGAUGCAGGGCGUAGGGUUGCAAAGCCGUUUGACCCGGGAUGAUAAUGACAGUAACGGGAGAAUAAGCACCGGCUAACUACGUG